GCCGAACGCUGGCGGCGUGCUUAACACAUGCAAGUCGAACGCUGAAGCCCUUUCGGGGGUGGAUGAGUGGCGAACGGGUGAGUAACACGUGGGUAAUCUGCCCUGCACUCUGGGAUAAGCCUUGGAAACGGGGUCUAAUACCGGAUAGGACACAUCGCCGCAUGGUUGGUGUGUGGAAAGUUCCGGCGGUGCAGGUUGAGCCCGCGGCCUAUCAGCUUGUUGGUGGGGUGAUGGCCUACCAAGGCGACGACGGGUAGCCGGCCUGAGAGGGUGACCGGCCACACUGGGACUGAGACACGGCCCAGACUCCUACGGGAGGCAGCAGUGGGGAAUCUUGCGCAAUGGGCGAAAGCCUGACGCAGCAACGCCGCGUGGGGGAUGACGGCCUUCGGGUUGUAAACCUCUUUCGACCGGGACGAAGGGUGACUGACGGUACCGGUAGAAGAAGCACCGGCUAACGACGGGCCAGCCGCCGCCGUAA
rnacentral:rRNA from 1 species